rnacentral:lncRNA from 1 species
GUGAGGAGCCUAAGACCUCGUGACAAGACGUAUAAAUGGUGGAGCCAGAUGAAACCCAGGUCGUUCGAUCCCUAAGCAUAAACUUGACGCAGGGUGAAUAUUCAGAAGAUGGAACAACCACCCAGCUCAAGCUGCCCCAAGGAAGGACCAAACAUGUGAACAGACAGAUGAAGCAAAGACAAUCUGGGCUGAAAACCUGCGUGCCGCCACCAAGUCCCAGUCAAGAGAUGAUGGUGUCUCUAACGACAAUACUGAUCUCAGAACUAAAGGAUCCAGGCUCCAAAUCAGGAGAUGAAGGUGAAAAUCAUGGAAUCCAGGCAAGUGAUGAUGUGGACCUUAAACAUUGCAUAGGCUAUAUGAUUUUCAUAAUUCUAGGUAAGCAAUGAUGUUGUCCCCAACACGUGUUGGUAUCAUAUUUUUUUUUUUGCAAAUAUUCAGAUAAAAAGUGAUACUGGGCCUACAUAUACCAAUAACUGUGAGAUCUAGUUUAGCUAGUUUUCUAGUUUAGAGAUAAUGUGUAUUUAACCAUAGGAAUGAAUGAGAGAUUUGCAAGUAUCCAGAUAAGUGAGCUUAACAUUCUCCAUCAUAGUAUUGAAAAGGAGAUUUUUAUCGGUGCAAAGUCAAGAAAUGAUGGUGCCUGUAACCACAGUGUUAACCUGUAAGUUCUGCCAGUGUUCAGGUAGCAUGGAUGGGCCCAUAAAUAUGGACGUGACAAAAAUUUUUUGUCAGUGUCCUAGUAGGAAAAGUUAUGUUGUUAAAUGUAUCUGUCACAGUGUUGAUUUUUUUUUUUUGGUUCUAUUCAGGGAAAGCACAGUGACCCUAACAAUGGUCAUUAAUAAGACUUUGCUUGAUCCAGUAAGUGAUUAUAUGAAUCUGACAACACUAUAGCCCUUCUGACCUUCAGAAAUCUAGGUAAAUGAUGAUGGUAUCCCUGACAUUUGUGUUACCAUGUUUUGUUUUGUUUUUGAAGAUAUUCGGGUAAGAAAUGUUCAGUUUAGUUCAGUUCAGUUGAGUCGCUCAGUUGUGUCCGAAUCUUUGCGACCCCAUGAACUGCAGCACACCAGGCCUCCCUGUCCAUCACCAACUCCCGGAGUUCACUCAAACUCAAUGUCCAUUGAGUCAGUGAUGCCAUCCAGCCAUCUCAUCCUUUAUCAUCCCCUUUUCCUCCUGCCCCCAAUCCCUCCCAGCAUCAGAGGCUUUUCCAAAGAGUCAACUCUUCGCAUGAGGUGGAGCAAGUACUGAAGCUUCAGCUUUAGCAUCAGUCCUUCCAAAGAACACCCAGGACUGAUCUCCUUUAGAAUGGACUGAUUGGAUCUCCUUGCAGUCCAAGGGACUCUCAAGAGUCUUCUCCAACACCACAGUUCAAAAGCAUCAAUUCUUCAGCGCUCAGCCUUCUUCACAGUCCAACUCUCACAUCCAUACAUG